rnacentral:rRNA from 1 species
GAUGAACGCUGGCGGCGUGCCUAAUACAUGCAAGUCGAGCGAACAGACGAGAGUGCUUGCACUCUCUGACGUUAGCGGCGGACGGGUGAGUAACACGUGUGUAACCUACCUAUAAGACUGGGAUAACUUCGGGAAACCGGAGCUAAUACCGGAUAAUAUUUAGCUUCGCAUGAAGCAAUAGUGAAAGACGGUUCUGCUGUCACUUAUAGAUGGACCCGCGGUGUAUUAGCUAGUUGGUGAGGUAACGGCUCACCAAGGCAACGAUACAUAUCCGACCUGAGAGGGUGAUCGGCCACACUGGAACUGAGACACGGACCAGACUCCUACGGGAGGCAGCAGUAGGGAAUAUUCCGCAAUGGACGAAAGUCUGACGGAGCAAUGCCGCGUGAGUGAAGAAGGUUUUCGGAUCGUAAAACUCUGUUGUAAGGGAAGAACAAGUACGUUAGUAACUGAACGUACCUUGACGGUACCUUACCAGAAAGCCACGGCUAACUACGUG